GCCUGCCUACACCUGCAGGAAAGGAACAUCCUCUUCUCUGAAGACUAGGGGACCUGGAGAAGGAUCCAAACAGACCGGCCUUGCUGAGUUUCCUCCAGUUGACUACACUUACCUCAUACUCCUCUGUGACUGUCCGCUCUUCAUCAAACCAAGCAUAAAAAUAUUCAGGUUUAGUCAUUUCUUCAGGUCUUCAUUUUCUUAUGAAGGCUCGCAUAUCAGCUGCGAGCAUUUUUUAGACCAGCUGUCCUCCCCAUCCUGAGCCCCUGAGGAACAAAGCAUGGAGCCUCUGAACAGCAUCAUUAAAGUGCUUCCCGGGAGGAGACCCAAUCUGAGUGGGCGAGAAGCUAACAGCGGCACUGGCACCAAGCAAUGUCAUAUAUCUCCAGCAACAAGUGAGACGUGGAAAAAGCAACCCAGGUACACCCAAGACCAGCAGCAAGCGGGACUUCAGUUGUCAAGAUUCAUCCUCUUAGACGGUGUGGCAGACACUAUCAUUGCUCUGCCUACAGUCCCUUGGCACUCACUGUUCCCAAACUGCCACUCUUUUGCUUCUUCAUGAAUCCAUCUGUGACUUUUUGUCCAAAGACCUUGCUCGGCCUACAAAUGAGCAGGACAGAAAUACCAGGGACUUGACUCUGUUGGGCAAUGGGCAGGAAUUGGUGGGUGGAUCCCCAAGCUUCUUCAUCCCUUUGAUGGGGAAACUCUGAGGUGUGUUCUACACUGUGUCCCUGAGAACCUCAGGAGAUCUGAGCCCUAGCUGCCCACAGCAGUCACCCUCUCAAAACACACCCAAUAUUGACUUUCCCUUCUCUGUCUUUCUUAACCCACUCCUUUAUCAUCACUUCCUGGGAUCACCUCCCAAAUCAGCUACGUGCACCCUGAUCUUUGUCUCAGGGUCUACUUCUGGAGAAACUCAACGUCAAUCAAAUGGUGUGCAUGUGUAUGUGUGUGCACACUUAUGUGUGUAAGUGCACACAAAUAUGUAGAUGAUAUAAAUAACAGGUAAAUAUUUUCUUGCUAUAAAUAAUAGUUUUUCUCUUUCUUAAUGCAGUGCCAGGCAGGCAGUUAGCAUUCAAUAAAUGGUAACCAUGAU
rnacentral:lncRNA from 1 species